ensembl:lncRNA
AGAUAACUUCCUCUUCCCUACUGUAUUUGGCUCACAGCAGUAUUUAAGGGGUUGCAUGCUUCCUGUUUGUGCUUGGCUGUGUCCGACCCUCUGCGACCCCCUGGACUGCAGCCCUCCAGGCUCCUCUGUAUCUGUGGGAUUUCCCAGUGAGCUCCAUCCACGGUCUCUGCUACAGCGGUCUUCAAGAGGCUCUAAGGCGGAUUCUUUACCAUCUGAGCCACCAGGGAAGCCCUGCUGCUGCUAAGUCGCUUCAGUCGUGUCCGACUGUGUGGGACCCCAUAGACGGCAGCCCACCAGGCUCCCCCGUCCCUGGGACUCUCCAGGCAAGAACACUGGAGUGGGCUGCCAUUUCCUUCUCCAAGAAAUCUUCCCAACACAGGGAUUGAACCCACAUCUCCUAUAUUUCAGGUGGAUUCUUUACCAUCUGAGCCACCAGGGAAGUCCUAGGAUGACUUUAAUUCCAAGUAAUUGAAAACCAAAUAAAA